GAUGAACGCUGGCGGCGUGCCUAAUACAUGCAAGUCGAGCGAACGGACGAGAAGCUUGCUUCUCUGAUGUUAGCGGCGGACGGGUGAGUAACACGUGGAUAACCUACCUAUAAGACUGGGAUAACUUCGGGAAACCGGAGCUAAUACCGGAUGAUAUUUUGAACCGCAUGGUUCAAAAGUGAAAGACGGUCUUGCUGUCACUUAUAGAUGGAUCCGCGCUGCAUUAGCCAGUUGGUAAGGUAACGGCUUACCAAGGCAACGAUGCAUAGCCGACCUGAGAGGGUGAUCGGCCACACUGGAACUGAGACACGGUCCAGACUCCUACGGGAGGCAGCAGUAGGGAAUCUUCCACAAUGGGCGAAAGCCUGACGGAGCAACGCCGCGUGAGUGAUGAAGGUCUUCGGAUCGUAAAACUCUGUUAUUAGGGAAGAACAUAUGUGUAAGUAACUGUGCACAUCUUGACGGUACCUAAUCAGAAAGCCACGGAUAACUACGUG
rnacentral:rRNA from 1 species